AACGCUAGCUACAGGCUUAACACAUGCAAGUCGAGGGGCAGCAUGGUCUUAGCUUGCUAAGGCCGAUGGCGACCGGCGCACGGGUGAGUAACACGUAUCCAACCUGCUGUCUACUCUUGGACAGCCUUCUGAAAGGAAGAUUAAUACAAGAUGGCAUCAUGAGUCCGCAUGUUCACAUGAUUAAAGGUAUUCCGGUAGACGAUGGGGAUGCGUUCCAUUAGAUAGUAGGCGGGGUAACGGCCCACCUAGUCUUCGAUGGAUAGGGGUUCUGAGAGGAAGGUCCCCCACAUUGGAACUGAGACACGGUCCAAACUCCUACGGGAGGCAGCAGUGAGGAAUAUUGGUCAAUGGGCGAGAGCCUGAACCAGCCAAGUAGCGUGAAGGAUGACUGCCCUAUGGGUUGUAAACUUCUUUUAUAAAGGAAUAAAGUCGGGUAUGGAUACCCGUUUGCAUGUACUUUAUGAAUAAGGAUCGGCUAACUCCGUGCCAGCAGCCGCGGUAAUACGGAGGAUCCGAGCGUUAUCCGGAUUUAUUGGGUUUAAAGGGAGCGUAGAUGGAUGUUUAAGUCAGUUGUGAAAGUUUGCGGCUCAACCGUAAAAUUGCAGUUGAUACUGGAUAUCUUGAGUGCAGUUGAGGCAGGCGGAAUUCGUGGUGUAGCGGUGAAAUGCUUAGAUAUCACGAAGAACUCCGAUUGCGAAGGCAGCCUGCUAAGCUGCAACUGACAUUGAGGCUCGAAAGUGUGGGUAUCAAACAGGAUUAGAUACCCUGGUAGUCCACACGGUAAACGAUGAAUACUCGCUGUUUGCGAUAUACGGCAAGCGGCCAAGCGUAAGCGUUAAGUAUUCCACCUGGGGAGUACGCCGGCAACGGUGAAACUCAAAGGAAUUGACGGGGGCCCGCACAAGCGGAGGAACAUGUGGUUUAAUUCGAUGAUACGCGAGGAACCUUACCCGGGCUUAAAUUGCAGAUGAAUUACGGUGAAAGCCGUAAGCCGCAAGGCAUCUGUGAAGGUGCUGCAUGGUUGUCGUCAGCUCGUGCCGUGAGGUGUCGGCUUAAGUGCCAUAACGAGCGCAACCCUUGUUGUCAGUUACUAACAGGUUCCGCUGAGGACUCUGACAAGACUGCCAUCGUAAGAUGUGAGGAAGGUGGGGAUGACGUCAAAUCAGCACGGCCCUUACGUCCGGGGCUACACACGUGUUACAAUGGGGGGUACAGAGGGCCGCUACCACGCGAGUGGAUGCCAAUCCCAAAAACCUCUCUCAGUUCGGACUGGAGUCUGCAACCCGACUCCACGAAGCUGGAUUCGCUAGUAAUCGCGCAUCAGCCACGGCGCGGUGAAUACGUUCCCGGGCCUUGUACACACCGCCCGUCAAGCCAUGGGAGCCGGGGGUACCUGAAGUGCGUAACCGCGAGGAGCGCCCUAGGGUAAAACUGGUGAUUGGGGCUAAGU
rnacentral:rRNA from 1 species